rnacentral:rRNA from 1 species
GAUGAACGCUGGCGGCGUGCCUAAUACAUGCAAGUCGAGCGAACAGACGAGGAGCUUGCUCCUCUGACGUUAGCGGCGGACGGGUGAGUAACACGUGGAUAACCUACCUAUAAGACUGGGAUAACUUCGGGAAACCGGAGCUAAUACCGGAUAAUAUAUUGAACCGCAUGGUUCAAUAGUGAAAGACGGUUUUGCUGUCACUUAUAGAUGGAUCCGCGCCGCAUUAGCUAGUUGGUAAGGUAACGGCUUACCAAGGCGACGAUGCGUGGCCGACCUGAGAGGGUGAUCGGCCACACUGGAACUGAGACACGGUCCAGACUCCUACGGGAGGCAGCAGUAGGGAAUCUUCCGCAAUGGGCGAAAGCCUGACGGAGCAACGCCGCGUAAGUGAUGAAGGUCUUCGGAUCGUAAAACUCUGUUAUUAGGGAAGAACAAAUGUGUAAGUAACUAUGCACGUCUUGACGGUACCUAAUCAGAAAGCCACGGCUAACUACGUG